GGAUAGCUGAUUGGUUAAAGCACCUGUUUUCCAUGCAGACUAUCCCAGGUUCAAUCCCCGACAUCGCCA